AACGAACGCUGGCGGCAUGCCUAACACAUGCAAGUCGAACGAGACCUCCGGGUCUAGUGGCGCACGGGUGCGUAACGCGUGGGAACCUGCCCUUAGGUUCCGGAUACCUCCCUUUAAGGGGUGCUAAUACCGGGUAAUGUCUUCGGACAAAAGAUUUAUCGCCUUGGGGUGGGCACGCGUUGGUUUAGCCGGUUGGUAUUGUAAAAGCCUAUCAAGGCGUGGAUCCUUAGCUGGUCUGAGAGGAAGAGCAGCGACACUGGGACUGAGACACGGCCCAGAAUCCUACGCGAGGGAGGAGAGGGGAAUACUGGAAAACGGGGGAGAGGAUGAUCCAGCAAGGGCGGGUGAGUGAUGAAGGCGUUAGGGAAGUGCAGCUCUUUUACCCGGGGUGAUAAUGACGGUACCGGGAGAAUAAGCACCGGCUAACUCCGUG
rnacentral:rRNA from 1 species